GGGGAGAGCCAACCAAUGCUACGUGUGUGUGUCGCGGGAGUGGGAGACAGCUGCGUACGUCCGCUCCCGGCACAACACAAGCAUCGAGCUCUGCGACAACUUCAGGGUUGGCGACAGCCGCUUCAUCCGCAACUGCCAGCCGCCGUUCUUAGGAUGCCUUACAACAAUCAACGGAAAACAGAUAACCCGUCAGUGCAGUGAGGACAGCUGGCAAGAAUGUCACAAUUUGAAUGGAGUCCAUUACUGCUACUGUCAGGACUCACUGUGUAAUGGCAACCUCGAGGAAACAUAUGCUGAGCUGGGAUCCCUCACGGAUGAUGAUGACUAUGCUUCAAUUAUUGAAGGCAGUGGUGGUGGUGGUGGUGGUGGUGGAAACAUAGAAUACAGUUAUACCCCUGUGGAGACAACUGAAAGCAAAGAGCAGUCACUUGCUUGUGCUAUUAUCCCAUCAUUUUGGUUCUGGUUUUUCUUAAAUUUGGCAGCAGCCAUUUUCCGUUAAGUAUUUAUCCAACUCUCUUCUCCAUCAUUAUUAACCCUCACAAACCACAGUCCCACUAUUUCAACAAUGUUGCAGCAUAUUCCAUAUGCCAAUUAUUUAUAUGUAAUAUAACCCUGUAGAGUCACACCUUACAGCAACCCAGUAGGAACCCCAAUAAAUGUAGUCAGUGAAAUGGUGACAAUUGAAAAACCAGAAUCAUCUUAUUUAGUAGUUUAAAACCGCUAUAAAUGAAUUCUCAAGAAAUAUUAACUGUUGUGUGAAAAACUUUGCCCAUAAACAAAAUAUAAACAUACAUCCCUUAGCAACAUAGAACAUGAAUGGCUUCUGCAUUAUUUUUUGUUCCACUAAUUAUGUCCCCACAUGUCUGACAAGACUUUGUCUUUUUUUUCUGAAUUGCAGCCAUAGCUCUCAUUAUUUGCACAACAUUACAAUGCUGUCAUUUUCCAGGCAUUUGCCUCUUAUAGGUAUAUAAUAAAGUCAGUUAAAAUUCACUCAUCAUUGAUGUCUAUUGGCCCCUCUGAAGAAAGUUCUUGGUCAAUUGAAGAAUAGUAAAAUAUGUCUAUGAUAGCAAAUUAUCAAGUCCAAAUAUAAUGUAUAUGACCUUUCAAAGUCCCUGUAAACAAAUUUCAUGCUGUACAAAACAAAGUUGUAUACAAAAAAUUUAUUAAGUAAUGCAUACAUUAACUAUAUAAAUGUCACUGUUAUUGGUGUGGCUAUCAUAUCUCACAGAAUAGGCCACCUGUUACCAAAGAAUGUAGAGGUAAAUUUUAGUGUGAACAUGUGUCUGUGAUAUUUAUUUUUAACUUUUUAUCACUGUCUGCUAAUAACAAAUACUAAUGUUCUAGAUUAUAUGAUUUAUCCACCAGGGAUCUCAUUUAAUUUUCAUGCAAUUAAUUCUAUAAGCAAAAGACAUUUAUUUCUAAUGCAAUUACUAAUCUAUCUUUCUGUGAUCCCAGUAUGAAAAAUUUCAUACAAAAAUGAACUUGCCUCAAAUUUACAUGAUGAACUGGAGAACUAUUGUCACUAUUGUUGGUAACUUCUAGAGAACAAAGAAAACUACAAAAAGCCCCAUUAUUGACUGAUAAAAAUGGCCCAUGACAUCUAAAAUAUAUUUUUGUCUAGCUUUGUCUGAGGGCUACUUAUAUUAAAAUUACAAUGAAAUAAUACUAAUAUAUUUUCAUGGUUAAAUGGUCCCUUUGUACGUUUUUUGAUCUGUAUGAUUGGAGAUUUAUGCCUUUGCAAUAGUAAAGUAAGCAGCAACAUUCUGAAGGCCAUAUUGCAUGAGCCUGAUCUCAUAAAUUAUGUGCCUUCAUUCACUACCAUUCCAUCAUUUGUAUGGUCAGAAACAUGCUCAGUUAUAAUAAUAUGACUCUCACAUUAGCAUUUCAAAUACAAAGAACAGAUGCUCAAUUUCUUUAGAUAGUUGCAAAAUUUCAUCCAGUUCAUAGUAUAUUUCUCCAAACAUACUACAUGUAUAACAACUAUAGCAACACACUGUAGUGCUCUGAAAAUGUCUGUCUCUCAGAUAUUGUCUUCAUUACAUCAAAACUUGGCUAUAGUUGUUGUACUAAGACUUCUUUUCUACUUCAGAGAAAUUGUACUAUUUAUGUUUCAGCAUAACAUUUCAUUGUGAAAUAAAAUUUCUACGCUGUUGUUAAGAACUACAAAAUGUUGACAUAGUUUGGUAACCUAGAUCAUUCUUGGAUACGAAUCAUGUGUCUAUAUAAAAUUGGCAUAUCUGAUCAGAACAGAUGGCCCUUUACAAAUAUUGUGCUCUGUCUACAAGAAAUUUUUUUCCAACAAGAAGCUCAAGCAGUAAUUAGCUAGAAUUCUUCCAAUGUCUUUUUAGUUCUUGAAAUGAAAGGUUGCUCCAGUUGGCAAUUAUACUCUUGUGAAGCUGUUGCUCUGAGCAGGAAAAAAGUAUACUACCCUCUCAUUACCUUAAUUUCUUUCUGUCAAAUCUAUAGCUUCAGCCUAUUCUUUUUGUCAUCAUUCCAUGAAAUUUAAUUUCAGUUCAAUGCAUCAUAUUCUUCAAUUUCAUUGCUGUUCUUCCUCCAUUCCCCUAUGUUCCCUGGUGGUACCUGUCAAUCACAUACUUACCUCAGCUAUAUAUCCUGGAAGUUGUAACUUGUCAUCACAUAACAACUUAUAGUUUGCAUCAAAUGAAAUUCUUCAUUUUUAAAUGUUAAACUGUAGCCUGUUAUGUACCCAGUGUUAGUAAUCUUCCAUCAAAAGCAUAAGAGAGAUUGUAUUGUCACUUUAUAGCUGUUAUUCAAGACACACAAAAAUUAGACAUUAGUUACCAGUGGACAUGGAUUUAUAUCAGUGGGGGCAAAUUGAAAAUUUGUGCCAGGCUGAGAUUUGAAUCUGGGUCUCCUGUUUACUUGGCAAAUGUGCUGACCACUAUGCAUCCAGACACACUGGUCACCACAAUCGAGUGGACUACCCAUCAGAUCCAAAUUCUCAACUUAUACCAUGCACCAAUGAUGUAGUGCCCCUGCUCACUAGCCUCAUUACUCUUGGCAUCUUACCAGUUCCCGUAAGAGUUUGAGCUUGGUGCGCAUCUGCACUGAAGGGAUCAUUGCUGUCAUCACCAUAAUUGUAUGUGACACCAGAUGUUCAGGGUGAGCACAAAGUCUUGCGCUGAUUAUAAACAUUUAUAACAGAAUAACCGUUUGACAUAAUAAAUUACAUUUGAUGCCAUUACAUAGCUUAGUGUUACUAGUUUUUUUAAGGCCACUUAUGUUAAUAAACCUCAACAUGUGCUCCCUUGGUAGCUCGGAGAAUGUCGAGGCGGUAUCCAAGUUCCUGUCAGGUAUUUUGUAACAUGUGUUCUGUCACAGUACCCAUAGCUGCUUGUAUCCUAGCCUUCAGUUCGUCAACAUCAGCAGCUGGUGUGAUGAAGACUCUGUCCUUGGUAUAGCCCCACAAAAAAAAGCCAAGGGUCGUAAUGUCUGGAGAGCAAGGUGGCCAGGCCAGGGUGUUGGACCAUUCCUUCCAAUACACCGUUCCGGACAUUACUCCCCUCUCCAGACAUUACACCCCUCUACUUUUUUUUCUGGGGCUAUACCAAGGACAGUGUCUUCAUCACACCAGUUGCUGACAUUGACGAACUGAAGGCUAGGAUACAACCUGCUGUGGGUACUGUGACAGAACACACGUUACAAAACACCUAGCGGGAACUGGAAUACCGCCUUGACAUUCUCUGAGCUACCAAGGGAGCAUAUGUUGAGGUUUACUAACGUAAGUGGUCUUAAAAAAAAAAACUAGUAACACUAACCUAUGUAAUGGCAUCAAAUGUAAAUUAUUAUGUAAAACAGUUUUUCUGUAAUAAAUUGUUAUAAUCAGGGCAAAACUUUGUGCUCACCAUGUAUAGUUACCAUGAUGGCUGCCAAUGAUCCUUUCAGUGCAGAUGCCCACCAAGCUUGAACUCUUACAGGAAUUGGCAACAUCCCAUGAGUAAUGAGGCUAAUGAGCAGGGCCAUUACAUCAGCAGUGUGUGGUAUAUGUUGAGAAAUUGGGUCUGAUGGGAGAUGAGCUAGGGUAGUCCGUGUGGUUGUGGUGAUAACUGUGUCUGGAUGGUGUAGUGCUCAGCAGGAGACCUGGUUUGCAUCCCAGUCUGGCACAAGUUUUCAACUUGCCCCAUUGACAUAAAUCAAUUCCCUAAUGUCUUUAAUUCCUUUGUGUCUUGAUUCAUAUUGACUGCAGGAUCAAAAUGAUGUCUGUUCUUUUCAAAAUGAUGUCUGUUCUUUCAGACACGUCCAAAAGAACAGACACCAUAUAUAUUAUAGCUAUUAUGUGAUUAAAUACUAAAAAAUUUGCUCAAGUCACUAUAUAUUAGUUUUUCAAUGUGCUAAAUUUACUGAUGAAUUCCCCUAACAGAUUUAUUAAAAUUAAAUCUGUCACUGUGAUUAAUUUUCAUUUAGGGUUUUGUAUACAAAACUGUCUCAUAAGAAAUGCUCCAUCAGUUAACUAACAUAAUUUUACAUGUUGUUUUGUCUUAACUGCACUGAAAAUACAAGCAGUUAACUAAUGUAAAUUAUGUACCAUCAUCAUACCAUGAAUUUAAUCUUAGAAUCCAGCAUAACAAUUUGACAGUUGAUUCAGCAGUAUUCAGUAACACCUUAACAAUUGCAUAAAAAGUAAAAGUAUUCAAAGUGAAAGAAAGAAGAAGAUAAGCCCAGCAGUUUUCUACAGAAAAAUUACUUGAUGAAAUAUGCACAUAGGUAUAUUGGCAUUGUUGGGGUGCUUCAAAAAUGAAUGUGUAGAUUCUAUGAACACUUACAACAUUUUGGGAGAGCUUUGUGUACCCAGUACUGUAGAUGCUGAUCUCCAGUUGUAAUGCAAAAACUACAUUGCACUGGUAUGUUACUAAAAUAAAAAUGAACUAAUAUUUUAAUACACUUUUUAAGGAGGCCAAUUAAAACUAUUUGCACGUAUGGGACCUAAGAUUUGGAGUGAACAAACCCCCAUCUCUCUGAAUUAAGCUAUCUUUGUCAAUAUUUAAAUAUUAAUUGGUCACCAGGAAUUUUAAGAAAAUUAGAAAAGUCAGUUUUUUCCAUCAUUUUUAACUGUAGAACAUGUCAUUAAAAUAUAACUGUUAUGACUAGAUUUCAAAUAUUGAUGCAGAAGAUGAAUACAUUUUUCCGAUCUCCUACAGUAUUUACUUUUAAAUCUAUCAGACACCUGACGAUCAGCACUGUGAUAAUCCACCCCUAACAGGCAUGAAUGAAAUAAUUAGAACAAGAGAGAGAAUACACUACUGCUGGUUACUUCCUCUUCUUUUUUCUUUUCAAAUCCAUGAUAUAUGAAAUUACUGUCAUUCACUGAUGUCUCAAAAGAAGUAUAAAAUUUGUGUGGAAAAGAACAAAAUCAUAACUCCUUGUUAUCUGCCUAGGGAAUUAAGUUUCAUGUUUUUAAGUACAAACUGUUAAGUAUACUUUAUUGUUAUUGUAAUUUUAUGGUUACUAUUAUUACUGUCAUCAUCAUAAUCAUCAUCAUCAUUAUCAUCAUCACCACCACCACCACCACCACCACCACCACCACCACCACCACCAAUACAAUCAUUACCUUUACAAAUGGAGAUUUUGUUAUUGCAUCAGUCAUUCCACAAUGGUGUUGAAUGUUUAAUACAAUUUGUGUGAAAGUUCACAAAACCCUAGAGUAAAUGGAAUUUAGGAUUCAGAGCCUUUGGUUUGAUGUUCUUGAUCUGUAAUAUGAAAAACACAUCAUCCUGAAUAAGUUUUGAUUUAUCAUACAAAUAUCUGCAAUCCGAAUACUACUGUCGCAUGUCCUUGGGUUAUAUUUGUAUUUUGACUGCUGUGUUCAGAAUGUUUGUUUUAUGUAAGUAUACCAUCAGAUUUAAAUUGAAUACCACAACAAUAAUGAAACUGAAUGUCUAAAUGUAUACUUCAACUAUGUACCAAAAUCAAUAAAGGAAAUUCAUAAGUGUAUGAUAAAUAAAGACUA